UAGAUUGAAGCCAGUUGAUUAGGGUGUUUAGCUGUUAACUAAAUUUUCAUGGGUUUGAAUUCUGCCAAUCUAG
rnacentral:tRNA from 1 species